rnacentral:rRNA from 1 species
UACGUAGGGCGCAAGCGUUGUCCGGAAUUAUUGGGCGUAAAGAGCUCGUAGGCGGUUUGUCGCGUCUGCUGUGAAAGCCCGGGGCUCAACCCCGGGUCUGCAGUGGGUACGGGCAGACUAGAGUGCAGUAGGGGAGACUGGAAUUCCUGGUGGUAGCGGUGAAAUGCGCAGAUAUCAGGAGGAACACCGAUGGCGAAGGCAGGUCUCUGGGCUCGUUACUGCGCUGAGGAGCGAAAGCAUGGGGAGCGAACAGGAUUAGAUACCCGGCGUCA